rnacentral:tRNA from 1 species
GGGUAGUUCAAAUGCUUAAUACACUUGGUUGCUAACCAAGAGUUUGGUGGUUUGAAUCCACCCAGAGCCA